rnacentral:misc_RNA from 1 species
CGGCGGGGUAACCGUCACCGUCUUCGAGUCGGGCCGGGGGCCCGGCGGCCGGAUGUCGCAGCGGAGGGAAAUCACUGGUAAUGGGGAGGAGCUGUUCUUUGAUCAUGGAGCUCCGUACUUCACUGUGAGCCAAGGAGAGGUGAUGGGUGUGGUUGGGUCGUGGGAGUCAAGGGGGUUAGUUGCUGAAUGGAAGGAGAGAUUCGGCUCGUUUGAUAAAACUACAGGCGAGUUUGCGUGUAUUGCAAAG